rnacentral:misc_RNA from 1 species
AAAAAAAAAAACCUGUGGUCCCCACAAUAUUAACCACAAAUUAAAUGAAAUUUAUAAAAUAGAAAAAGCAUUUGCUACAGUCCCACAGAAGCCCUUUAUCGAGAAACGACGACGCAGCACAUCAGGACCAAGCUACUUGUUUGUUCCUUUCUUCUGUGUGGCUCAAAGAUUCAAAAAAAUACAGUCACCGUCUAUCAGAGACUACAGAACAAA